rnacentral:rRNA from 1 species
CAGUCGCCGCGGGAAUACGUAGGUGGUAAGCGUUGUCCGGAAUUAUUGGGCGUAAAGCGCGCGCAGGCGGAUCAGUCAGUCUGUCUUAAAAGUUCGGGGCUUAACCCCGUGAUGGGAUGGUAACUGCUGAUCUAGAGUAUCGGAGAGGAAAGUGGAAUUCCUAGUGUAGCGGUGAAAUGCGUAGAUAUUAGGAAGAACACCAGUGGCGAAGGCGACUUUCUGGACGAAAACUGACGCUGAGGCGCGAAAGCCAGGGGAGCGAACGGGAUUAGAUACCCCUGUAGUCCCUGUCUCUUAUACA